rnacentral:rRNA from 1 species
UCGUGGGGUGACUUGUCUGCUCUACUGCGAUAACGAACGAGACCUCCGCGGUUAAAUGCUUCUCAUGCUAUUAGCAGAAAGGAGCUCUUAGCCGGACUGUUAGCUUUUCAAGCUAAAGGAAGGUGGAGGCAAUAACA